GGGGGGGGGGGGGGGGGGGGCGGGGGGGGGGGGGGCGGGGGGACGGACGAGGAGGUGGCGCCGCUGACGUUGGCGGCGGACGGGUGAGGAACACGUGGAUAACCUACCUAUAAGACUGGGAUAACUUCGGGAAACCGGAGCUAAUACCGGAUAAUAUAUUGAACCGCAUGGUUCAAUAGUUAAAGACGGUUUUGCUGUCACUUAUAGAUGGAUCCGCGCCGCCUUAGCUAGUUGGUAAGGUACCGGCUUACCAAGGCAACGAUGCGUAGCCGACCUGAGAGGGUGAUCGGCCACAAUGGAACUGAGACACGGUCCAGACUCCUACGGGAGGCAGCAGUAGGGAAUCUUCCGCAAUGGGCGAAAGCCUGACGGAGCAACGCCGCGUGAGUGAUGAAGGUCUUCGGAUCGUAAAACUCUGUUAUUAGGGAAGACCAAAUGUGUAAGUAACUAUGCACGUCUUGACGGUACCUAAUCAGAAAGCCACGGCUAACUACGUG
rnacentral:rRNA from 1 species